GACCCAGUGGCGCACGGCGCGCACCUACCUUGCAUUCUCGGUUUUGAUCGAUGUACUUGCACGUGGGAGAACCUGGUUCGAUUCCAGGCUGGGUCC